rnacentral:rRNA from 1 species
AGAGUUUGAUCCUGGCUCAGGACGAACGCUGGCGGCGUGCCUAACACAUGCAAGUCGAACGGAGUUACUUAGCGGAAAUUUUCGGAUGGAAGCUGAGUAUACUUAGUGGCGGACGGGUGAGUAACGCGUGGGCAACCUACCCAUAAGCGGGGGACAACAGUUGGAAACGACUGCUAAUACCGCAUAAACUGUUUAAGACACAUGUAUUGAACAGCAAAGAUGGCCUCUUAGUAAUGCUAUCACUUAUGGAUGGGCCCGCGUCUGAUUAGCUAGUUGGUGGGGUAACGGCCUACCAAGGCUGCGAUCAGUAGCCGGCCUGAGAGGGUGAACGGCCACACUGGGACUGAGACACGGCCCAGACUCCUACGGGAGGCAGCAGUGGGGAAUAUUGCGCAAUGGGGGAAACCCUGACGCAGCGACGCCGCGUGAGCGAUGAAGGCCUUAGGGUCGUAAAGCUCUGUUGUAAGGGACGAAUGUUCCGUAUAGUAACUGAUGCGGAAGUGACGGUACCUUACGAGGAAGCCCCGGCUAACCACGUGCCAGCAGCCGCGGUAAGACGUAGGGGGCGAGCGUUGUCCGGAAUUACUGGGCGUAAAGAGCACGUANGUGGGUGCUUAAGUCAGGUGUGAAAGACCGCAGCUUAACUGCGGGGUUGCACUUGAAACUGGGCAUCUUGAGGGCAGGAGAGGACAGUAGAAUUCCUGGUGUAGCGGUGAAAUGCGUAGAAAUCAGGAGGAAUACCAGUGGGCGAA